AAUUUUAACAAGGUAGAACUAAAACUGUUAAUAAAUAGCCAUUUUGAGGUAUAAUAUCACUGCAUUCGGUCGUGAAUUUUUCUUUAAAAAUGAAGGUUAUCACAUCGAUGUUCUGUGCAAUAGUGAUAGUCGGUAUGGCUGAGAGUGAUACUUUUAGCUGGGGUAAACGCCAGAAUAAUAAUCAAAAACUACACGUUCUCAAGCUUAAAAAAGGACCGUUGGAUCAACCGGAGAAUAUUACCCUCGUUUUCAACUAUGCCGUCAAUCCGAUGCGAAACGAGCAAAUGACUUGUGUCGAGAUAAAAUACGAUGGAAAAUAUGGCGCCGUUGUCAAGCCAGGAAACUCGGAUUUUAAGCGAUCAUUCAAAGUUUCAGUUUCCCCGCUUUCUCCAGUCAGAGAAUUUGAGGGUGAAGCGACUAUUUACGGGUUUGAUAGCGCUUGGUUUUGAGGAGCUGUAAAACCAUUCAAAUAUCAAAUCUCUUUCCUCAAUUAUUUAAAACUAAAUCAUCGAAUACAUCCGAUCUAAUCAAUCAAAAUUCCUCAUUCACUGAUAUAGUAAAAAAAACUUCUCAAUUUACCAUUGAAUUAAGUGUAAUCUAAUCAAACCGUAACACUCUCGACAAAAAAAAAGCAACCUGCCCUCGAUUACCGUUAAUGGAAGACCAAUUAGUUGAGGCCAAGUUUUGCGGGAAACGAUCGCAGAUCUAAAGUGUAACAUAGGAAUUGGCAAACGAAAAUCCUCGGAUUUUCCAAUGCACGUUUUACAAAUUGGCAAAGGACCUGUGGAGGAUCCCGAGGAAAUGGCACUAAUAUUUGACUACGAAGUAGGGCCGGACACAAACGACGAGCUAACAUAUAUCCAAUUUGAAGCUUCAGAACCGAGUUGUGGUAUCUAUGAAUUGAAAAAAUUGGACCCGAGAAAAGAUUUCAAAAUUGCUAUUUUGUCAGCGUAUCCGGUGAACAAGUUUACAGUGUCGGCCACCAUUUAUGGCAUUCGAUGGGCGAUUCCAAAUUAAAACUAUUUGAUUUUUGAAGGCAUUAGAUGCACGGAUUAUUUAAAAUAAAAUUCAAUCAAUCAUUUAAAAAAAGGUUAUUAUUAUAUUGUA